rnacentral:rRNA from 1 species
GACGAACGCUGGCGGCGUGCUUAACACAUGCAAGUCGAACGGUGAAGCUCCAGCUUGCUGGAGUGGAUCAGUGGCGAACGGGUGAGUAACACGUGAGCAACCUGCCCCUGACUCUGGAAUAAGCGCUGGAAGCGGCGUCUAAUACUGGAUACGAGAAGGGUCCGCAUGGGCACUUUCUGGAAAGUUUUUCGGUUGGGGAUGGGCUCGCGGCCUAUCAGCUUGUUGGUGAGGUAAUGGCUCACCAAGGCGACGACGGGUAGCCGGCCUGAGAGGGCGACCGGCCACACUGGGACUGAGACACGGCCCAGACUCCUACGGGAGGCAGCAGUGGGGAAUAUUGCACAAUGGGCGAAAGCCUGAUGCAGCGACGCCGCGUGAGGGAUGACGGCCUUCGGGUUGUAAACCUCUUUCAGCAGGGAAGAAGCGAAAGUGACGGUACCUGCAGAAGAAGCACCGGCUAACUACGU